CUGCACCUUGUGUCUGAUGGGUCCUCUGAUUUUUAUGGUGAGACCUCUAGUUCUGGUGCAUAAAGGAAAUGCUAUUUUUAUAGCAACGGCCAGACAACCGUAGAGAUGAAUCCACAGACAAAUGGUUUUUGUAUAAUUUGUCUACUGAUUUCAUCUCAAAUUC